rnacentral:rRNA from 1 species
GGCUCAGAUUGAACGCUGGCGGCAUGCCUUACACAUGCAAGUCGAACGGCAGCACGGACUUCGGUCUGGUGGCGAGUGGCGAACGGGUGAGUAAUGUAUCGGAACGUACCUUUCAGUGGGGGAUAACGUAGCGAAAGUUACGCUAAUACCGCAUAUUCUGUGAGCAGGAAAGCAGGGGAUCGCAAGACCUUGCGCUGAUUGAGCGGCCGAUAUCAGAUUAGCUAGUUGGUGAGGUAAAGGCUCACCAAGGCGACGAUCUGUAGCGGGUCUGAGAGGAUGAUCCGCCACACUGGAACUGAGACACGGUCCAGACUCCUACGGGAGGCAGCAGUGGGGAAUUUUGGACAAUGGGGCAACCCUGAUCCAGCCAUGCCGCGUGAGUGAAGAAGGCCUUCGGGUUGUAAAGCUCUUUCGGCCGGGAAGAAAUCGCAUGGGCUAAUACCCUGUGCGGAUGACGGUACCGGCAUAAGAAGCACCGGCUAACUACGUG